GAGUUUGAUCGUGGCUCAGAUUGAACGCUGGCGGCAUGCCUUACACAUGCAAGUCGAACGGCAGCAUGAUCUAGCUUGCUAGAUUGAUGGCGAGUGGCGAACGGGUGAGUAAUACAUCGGAACGUGCCCUGUAGUGGGGAUAACUAGUCGAAAGAUUAGCUAAUACCGCAUACGACCUGAGGGUGAAAGUGGGGGACCGCAAGGCCUCAUGCUAUAGGAGCGGCCGAUGUCUGAUUAGCUAGUU
rnacentral:rRNA from 1 species